AUCUUCUGUGAUAGGGUUAUUAUUGCAUGUACAGAGAGAUUCCUUGGAACCGCAUAUGACUCAAUCUAUCUCACUCAGAUUUCUCACCAUACCUUCACUUAUUUUGCUGCAGUGUCCAGCAGAUCUCCUUGAAACACUCCACCAGCCCAUUGGAGAAAAGUUACUGUUCAGUCCCUGAAGGCUUGUGCCAUAAAAGAGUGGGAGACAUUCCCAGGGAAUUUCAGCACCCAUUUGGACUUUCACAAUCAGAGAUGGCAGCGGUAAAGGCAUCAACAUCGAAAGCUACCAGGCCUUGGUAUUCUCAUCCGGUAUAUGCAAGAUACUGGCAACAUUAUCAUCAAGCAAUGGCUUGGAUGCAAAGCCAUCACAAUGCCUACAGGAAGGCCGUGGAAUCCUGUUUCAGUCUUCCAUGGUACUUACCUUCUGCACUUCUUCCCCAAAGCUCUUACGAUAACGAGGCUGCGUAUCCUCAGUCCUUCUAUGACCAUCAUGUGGCCUGGCAGGACUACCCCUGCAGUUCUUCACAUUUCAGAAGAUCUGGCCAGCAUCCGCAUUACAGCAGUAGGAUCCAGGCAUCCACAAAAGAAGACCAAGCUUUGUCCAAAGAGGAAGAAGAGGUGGAGACUGAGUCAGAUGCAGAGGUAGAAUGUGACCUGAGCAAUAUGGAAAUCACUGAAGAGCUCCGCCAGUACUUUGCAGAGACCGAGAGGCAUAGAGAAGAACGACG
rnacentral:sRNA from 1 species